rnacentral:rRNA from 1 species
UACGAAGGGGGCUAGCGUUGCUCGGAAUCACUGGGCGUAAAGCGCACGUAGGCGGCUUCUAAGUCAGGGGUGAAAUCCUGGAGCUCAACUCCAGAACUGCCUUUGAUACUGGAGUGCUGAGUCCGGGAGAGGUGAGUCGGAACUCCGAGUGUAGAGGUGAAAUUCGUAGAUAUUCGGAAGAACACCAGUGGCGAAGGCGGCUCACUGGCCCGGUACUGACGCUGAUGUGCGAAAGCGUGGGG